AAAAAAAAAAAAAAAAAAAAAAAAAAAAAAAGAAUUAUAAUUUCAGAUUACCCAUAUAGGAGAAAUUAUUUGUAUUUUCAUUUAUGAGAGCAGUGAUUGUAACUGAAUUUCCUCAGUUUUGGACAUGUUAGAAUUUUCACUGGGCCAAAUUACGAGUAUUUUUUGAAAUACGGGUAUUCCUUUAGGAGUUCUAAGUCGUAGGUGUCUGUGACUUGAUUGUUUCAUCACAAUGGAAUAUAAAGGUCUGUUCAUUCAUACUGUUGACCAGAGGCAAGUUAAUCAUGCUAAUCAAAAAGUGUUUGCUUUGAGAUACUGAGUCUGACUUUAUUCCUUCACUCCUGCUGCCGGAUAAGCUCGGUGUUCAUUCCUCUCGUGAGCCAGUCUACAGUAUUCUGUGGUGUGAGAUGGGAUUGUUGUAGCACUUAAAUCAAGACUGUCCAACAUGAUAUGUAUGAUUAUCAAAGCUCAUCAAUGAAUCACUUAAGAUCUUGUAUGUAAAUUUUGCCUUAAUUAAAACAAAUUGGACAUGUUUGCUCAAAGGUGAGGCGAAAGGAGACUGUCUGCUGUUACGUCAUAUAUUUAUCCCAACAUUAUUGCUAUGGGGUUUCCUGCAGAAAGACUUGAAGGCGUAUACAGGAACAAUAUUGAUGAUGUAGUAAGGUAAGAACUAUUAUUUUCUGU